rnacentral:lncRNA from 1 species
UCAAAUAUCCCCUUAUUCCCCAGACUUCGCAACUUGAGGAGAAAGAAGCCGGCAUUCUUGAAGGAACACCAUCAUCUUCCCAAACUAAUAUACUUGGUCACAAGACAAAUGCUGUCACAUCCCGGCCCUUAUAUUUUUACCUUAUUCAUUAGCUUAAUUAUAAUAAGAAUUUUACCGUCUCGAUCAUUGAGUUAAUAGUUUAAUUGGUCCCUAGAGGUAUUUUUAAGAGAUAAUUAGUUUCGGGGAAUUGUUCGUGGGAGAAAAUAUGACGACGGUAAAAAUGGUAAAUUUUAGCUAGUAAAAGGUAAUUUUUAUUCGGGUAUUAUUUUUCGGGGUGUUUUAUUUUUGGGUUUGGGUUGUUUAAAAGGAUGGACCGGUUUGGGGUGUGAGGCCCAAACCCAGUUUUUUUUUCUUCUUCUUUCUUUUUCUUCCUCUCUUCUUCCCGGUUUCCUCCCGAGCCUCUCCCCCGCCAGAAACUUCUCGCCGCCCGACCGCCGCCGUCCGGCCGCCCCAGAUCGCCGCACCGGUCCCAAUCGAUCGGUCUCCGACCCAGCUAUCUUCCAGGACCGGUGACAGCCCCCCUAGCGCCGCCGUGAGAGAGCGGUGCCGCCCGAAAGGUUAGGCUGCCCCGAACUUCCGGUCGCCGGAACUCCCUCCUCCGGCCACCAAUCCGGGCAAGCUUGGUACGGUUUUGUAGCCCUCCUCCCGUGCAGCAACCCCUCCAAUCAGCUCACUCCCUCUUGAGCUAGGUAAGGAGAAAUGUGGAGUUGAAAUUUCUAGGGCUUUUAGGAUGUUUUUGUUCGAUUAGCCUAGUUAGGCUUGGAAUUGGGUGAUGUGUUGGUCAGGAAAGUUGUAGAGCAUGAUGAGGAGAUUAUUCUGUCAAAAUUUCAUAGGUUUUGGAGGUCGCCGGAAUUGGCCUCCGGCCGCCGCUGCCGGCGGAGCCGCCGCCGGUUAAGAGAUUUUUAGGGUUUUAAGU